UGCGCAUGCGUCGCGCACGAGGCUGCGGGAGGGAGGAGAAGAAGGCGGAGGCGCCGGCCACGCCCACCUGCAGUUGGUGUCCCCCGCGCGCCCAGAGACGCGCAUGCGCCGAGGAGGCGCUGGGUCGCACGAGCACCCGUGGAGAAAAGCCCCGACCUCAAGCAGCAGCUGCAUGCGGCCGCCCUCCCCCCCCGCCCGCUGAGGCCCCGAGGAAGAUACACGGAGUCCCACCUGCUGCCCCACCACCAGGAGAGCUGGGCUGCUCGUGGCAGUAAGCAGCAGGCAUGGUCCCCUUGCUAAGCAGGGUCUGCCUUGGUUUGCAUUUGCAUGGGAGACUCCAGGUGUGGGCGCUGGAAGAUGUUCCCCUCAGGGGCUGGGGCAUUCGCUCAGUGGAGGAGGAGGAGGAGAAGCAGCUGCAUUUUUUUUCCUCCUGCCCCAUGUUCGCUGCCUGGCAUUGGCUGCAUCUCCAGGUCGGGCUGGGGAGAAACUGCUGCCUGCAACCUGGGAGAGCCGCUGCCAGUCAGCGUGUAGUAGACGAUGCUGAGCUGCGUGGACCGAGGGUCUGACUCAGCAGAAAGCAGCUGGUCUUGUGGUAGCAAGCCUGAAGUGUCCCCUUGGCUCCGCAGCUGGGUCUGCCCCGGGUGCAUGCGAAGGAGAGACUCCUUGUGUCAGCGCCAGAGGUGCACCUGGGUGAUUUUGCAGCCUGGACCUACUAAAGACCUUUCUCCCUUGUUCCACCCAGUGGAGAUGAGUUCAGAGAGAGAAAUAUACCUAUUGAAAAAUGUUACCUAUUGCAAAGGAUAGAAAUGCAUGCAGAUUGCUUUUCUGAACUCAAGAUUUGAAUCACAGCAAAGCUAUGCUGCCUCAACCUUGCAGUGAUGCUUAUUUUCCUGGUAGCUGACAAUAGCUCCACCCGGUUACAUGCACAGAAUAAAACUACAAUGCAAAGAAUCCAUGGCUGAGUGUACAACUUCUUCAGUCUCAAAUCGGGCAAAGUGCAGAGCCAACAGUACAAGGACAUCCACCCGUUCCCGAGGCUCCUCCAACCGCGAUCCUUUCUCCCUGUCCUUAUCCAGACCAAUUUUCCAGCCAAGAGCACGUUGUUCCCGACCUUAGCUGCUGUCAGACAACAGGGUCCCUACCAAAGACUGCUCUGUUGUUCUACAGGCUGUUGUAUUUGAAAGGAGGUUCUCUGUACGUAGCAGAUGGCUGUUGUGAUGCCAGGGGUCUCUUGCCAACAGCUCUGGCCACCCCUUUGUGAACUGGAGUGCUCCGUGUACUCCCUGGGUUAUCAUGUUCUGCAUGAGAUGGAAUAUGGCCCUACUGAGAUGGCUGAAGAUUCCCAUUGUGUUGCAAGCCAUUCA